GUCCCUGUAGCACAAUGAAUAGUGCAUUGGACUUCUAAUCCAAAGGUCGCGGAUUUGAAUCCCACCUGGGAUA
rnacentral:tRNA from 1 species